UUAACUAUUAUGUAGUACUCAGACGACAAAAUUAUGAGUGUUGAGGUCCUCUGGCAGGCACGGACUAGCAAAAGCCAGUAGUCAUUAGACGGGCCUGCCAAAGCAACAAAGGUAUUGUAAACAAAGGGUGGGAGAUACACCUCAAAGGGCACAUUCUCUGUAAUGAUCCUUCCGCAGGUUCACCUACGGAAA
rnacentral:misc_RNA from 1 species